AUUUUUCCUUCCCAAAUUCGCCGAGCCUUCUUCUUCCUUGCGAUUCACCGCCGAACCUUCCUUCCUCUAGCUCGAUCCUCCACCCUUCUCCUCUGAUCGCCGAAGCCGAUGCACCAUCGACUGAGUUUCCCUCCUACCUCUCUUCUCCUCUUCACCGUCGGCGCAACUCUUCUUCUUCUCUCUGUCUCACGCGUGGAUAACCCGACAUCGACGGAGUGUGCUCCACCACGAUCUCGCCUUCACGCGCCGUCGGAGAGGAAGUGGCGUUGGAUCUUGACAGUAAUCGUCAUCUCCGAUUGUGUGAUUGCAUCUUCAAUGGUUCUUGCUCACGAUCGGCCGUUGCUCGGCGGCUAGGGCACGGUAAGGCUAGGGCUCGGUGAGGGAGGGGAGAUUUGAGCCCUAAUUUCCUAUUAUGGGUGUCCAGUGCCUUCCCGUCGUCGGAGCUUGGAUCAGGGAGGUCCAACUCCACUGGAUUCCGAUUCCUCUUUCUCGUCGGUGUUGAUCGGCUGCCGGUCCAUGGUGUGGGAUGUAUUUCCGACAUAGAAAUAGAGUAAGUACCGAUUUCCAGCGAUCCACGGUUCCGAAGAUCCAGAAGCAGCAGUGAACCUCUCUGGUCAUGUUUCCUUGGCUGCCACCUUGGAUUUGGCACCGAGGGUACUGUUCGUCAGUGAUCCAGAGCUCCGGCCAUCUUCUCCGAUUGUGCACUGUAUCUACCUGUGAGCCACUAAUGACCACUGCAUAUCUUGGAUUUGGAUUCGGGACGAGCAUCUCGACUCGAGAUUACUUGACAUGAUCUACAUUUCGAGGCGGG